AUUGAACGCUGGCGGCAUGCCUUACACAUGCAAGUCGAACGGUAACAGGUCUUCGGAUGCUGACGAGUGGCGAACGGGUGAGUAAUACAUCGGAACGUGCCUAGUAGUGGGGGAUAACUACUCGAAAGAGUGGCUAAUACCGCAUGAGAUCUACGGAUGAAAGCAGGGGAUCGCAAGACCUUGUGCUACUAGAGCGGCCGAUGGAAGAUUAGGUAGUUGGUGGGAUAACAGCCUACCAAGCCGACGAUCUGUAGCUGGUCUGAGAGGACGAUCAGCGACACGGGGACUGAGCCACGGCCCAGACUCCUACGGGAGGCAGCAGUGGGGAAUUUUGGACAAUGGGCGCAAGCCUGAUCCAGCAAUGCCGCGUGCAGGAUGAAGGCCUUCGGGUUGUAAACUGCUUUUGUACGGAACGAAAAGCCCCGGGUUAAUACCCUGGGGUCAUGACGGUACCGUAAGAAUAAGCACCGGCUAACUACGUGCCAGCCGCCGCGGUAA
rnacentral:rRNA from 1 species